rnacentral:rRNA from 1 species
UACGGGGGGGGCAAGCGUUGUUCGGAAUUACUGGGCGUAAAGCGCGCGUAGGCGGUUACUUAAGUCGGAUGUGAAAGCCCUCGGCUUAACUGAGGAAGUGCACCCGAAACUGAGUAGCUAGAGUACGAAAGAGGGUCGCGGAAUUCCAGGUGUAGAGGUGAAAUUCGUAGAUAUCGGGAGGAACACCGGUGGCGAAGGCGGCGACCUGGGUCGAGACUGACGCUGAGGCGCGAAAGCGUGGGGAGCAAACAGG